UUGAGUCGUUUGUGAGCAUGAAAUGUGUCUUUGUAUUUGUAGGACUAAAAAGAAAAUUUUUAAAUUUUUUACGAAAGAAUAAAAUUUUACCACGCAACAAUGAAAAUAUUUUAUGUAUGUUUUCUAUAAAUACUUGCCUCUUUCUGUCUCUUUGUAUUCAUCCAAAGUCUAGACAUGGCAUCUAUACAUUCACUACUCUUAUUCCUACUUGGAGUGACGUUGCUCACAAGUUCAUUGUUAGCUGCAAGAACACUUCAAGAGAAUCCACCAAACGAUUAUAAGUAUCCAAAAAGAUUGCCAGCUCCCCAAAGGCCCAAAAUAAUUGUGCCAUAUCCCCGGGAACCUCCUAUAAACGAUCCUCUCAUAUAUAAUUAGAAGCAUUAAUAAAGUUGUGAUCCCAUGACUGUUUGAUGUGGCAAGAUUUUCCAUCCUUUAUUUUGAUUAGUUUUUUUGUAGAAAAUAAUUCAAAGGAUGUACUUAUGUCUAGAAAAUAAUUCUAAGGAUGUACUUAUGUCGUCUAUUUGUUUUAUUGUCUAAAUACUGGUUACUCUAGUUUUAUUGGCUUUUAGCCAUUAGUUUUGUUGUAUGAUACCACCUUUGAAAUAAAAUAUGUAUCUUUUAUGUUA